GCCUGGGUGGCUCAGUUGGUUGAGCGUCCGACUUCAGCUUGGGUCAUGAUCUCACAGCUUGUGGGUUCCGGCCCCGCAUCAGGCU
rnacentral:tRNA from 1 species